rnacentral:lncRNA from 1 species
AGAAAUAAUAAUUUUUUGUAACACGUUGAAAAUCUAUACGACAAAUAUUUAAAACUUUAUGACUAAACAGAUCGCUGAAUGUAGACGUACAUAGAGAACCUCACGUGACGUCACACAAGCAGGUAAUGCAUCGUAGAUAUCAAUGCUAGUAACAACGCAAAGAAAGGAUAAAUUAGAAAGAUCCAAAUGCCAAAGUUAGAUAUGUAUGAUUAGAUUAUGGAAUUUAGAGGAAAAUACAAAUCGCUACGCGUCUAUGAUGACCCAGCAUUGGCCAAAAUAUGUUUAUUACAGGACAGCAGAAUAUUAUCAGAAAGAUGUGUACGGUCGAUUGGAACGCAUGCGCAAGGUAGGUGGUACUAAACACGUGGAAAUACAAGAAAACAACAUUAAUUUCUCAAUAAUUAUUAAAAUAUAUAAGUAUAGAAAUGUCAAUUAAUAUUACUUUAUAUUUUUCGUUAUUAUUUUAAUUAAAUCUUGAUUUUUUUUCCAAAC